rnacentral:rRNA from 1 species
UACGUAGGGUGCAAGCGUUGUUCGGAAUUACUGGGCGUAAAGGGCUCGUAGGCGGCCAACUAAGUCAGACGUGAAAUCCCUCGGCUUAACCGGGGAACUGCGUCUGAUACUGGAUGGCUUGAGGUUGGGAGAGGGAUGCGGAAUUCCAGGUGUAGCGGUGAAAUGCGUAGAUAUCUGGAGGAACACCGGUGGCGAAGGCGGCCAACUGGACGAAUACUGACGCUGAGACACGAAAGCGUGGGGAGCAAACAGG